rnacentral:lncRNA from 1 species
CAGAGAGAUCGAUUUGUCGGGAUGGGAAGAGUGAAACAAACGUUUUAGAUGUCCAUUUUAGUCCUUUCUCUUCCCCCAACAGGCUUAUAUGGGCAGGAUUUCUAGAACUUCUGAAAUGAAUGCUUCCUGAAAGAAAUAUAUUUCCCUCUGGGAUGGCACAGCUUUCAGUCCUGCUUCUGUGUGAAGCAUUUUGCAGUCGUGGUGUGACCUGAAGGGAGUCUGAAGCAGCGUUUGAGCGACAAGCCCCUUCCGAAAACACGCUCGUCAAGUCGUCCCGCACAGCGUAUCUGAAUGGCCACGGCACGGGUGGCCUGGGCAAGGUCUGAGCCCUACUCUUCCACAGGUACGUUGUACUACGCCUAAGUUCAAUGUGCCUUAAAAGCGUCUGCGGAGUGACGGGACUUUGUCAUUUCGGUAGCGCUUGGAGUAGUCUGGUGGCUCCUGGAAGCUGAAGGAGUGUGUUUGCUCGUGGUUCUGCCAGAAGAGACCAUCGCUGGCGCUGGAGUGCUGCGGAAGAGAUUUCGGCUUCACGCUUGGCUCUUUAAAUUGUUGGAAAGAAACAAUAUUUGCAGAGAAGUAAAACUGUUUGGGAGUCAAAUUCCCCUUGACAGAAGCCAACUGAAACCUUGUGGUUUAACUCCGAGGCAGAGUGCUUUGAAAGUGCCAUCCAUUUCUAAAACUUGCUUGGCAGACAACUGGUGCUCCGAAAGCAUCAUCCCACUCCUGGGCUCCAGCCAGCCGAGGCCAAACGCGCCUUCGGCCGCAGGUGGGUGAGGCUGAGCUGUACUGCUUUCCUCCGGUCAGCUGGGUUCAUUUGCUAAAAUCUGGAGAUUGAGUCUCCAAAAUAUGCCUGCGUGCCGUGUGUAGCAGCACACGGCUUUCGUAAAAGGGGGGGAAAAUGCCUGUGAUGACCGAGGCUAAGAAACCUUUGCUGUGGUAUGCCUGCCUCUGCAGGGGGGAACUAAUUUUAAGUUCUUUAAUUCUUUCAUGUUUUAAUGAUAUUUAAAUGACUCAAAUAGUUUCAAUAAAUGAAUACAUUACAAAGAUUGCGUUCA